UGCAACAUUAUAAAUGCUAAAUACAAUCAGUGACAUGUAGCACCUAUCAAAGAAGUAAUAAUAUGAUAAAAAUAUUUACAACAUCAGUUAUUCACAUUUUGGUUACUUAUAUUAAUACAUUUUUUAAAUGUUUGCACCAGGCAGCAUGGAUUUUUAAUACAGUAAAAUAUAAACAAUAAAUUUAAUAUCAAAAUAUUAGUCAAGAUGCCAAUCGCUUACGCUCUGUAGCGACGAAACGCCAAUGCCUCUGUCGCACUAAUAUGGUAGAGUCGGUAGAGUGAUAGCAAAGACAUAUGUAACUUCGUAUAAGAUGAAUAAAGUCAAGGAAAAAAAGUUCCUCGGAAAUCAAGAAAAAGUCAUUCUCGGAUAGAUGCCGCACACACCUUUAGCCUACUCUCGGCUAGAUGGCGUGACGACACCGUUUCAUGUUUAACAAUUUUAACACAUAGAUAUCAGUGAAUGAACAUGGAUCAAAAUUAUACAUAUAAGAAUAAUAAAAUCAUUUAUCCAUAUAUGUACAUACAUUUUUUUGAUAAUUUUAUAAGUUUUCAUUUUGAGUUUUAGUCGUGUGUCGAUAGAUGGCAGUAAAUUUACUGUGACUACAAAAUUAACAAUGACAGGACCCCUCUAUACUAUCUAUUCUUUUUGGUGAUAGGUAAUAAGUAAUAACGUAUCGUUCGCCACGGAGUUAACGAUUGUCAUCUUGGCUACGCACCCACGGCUAUGUUAAUGAGAAAAAUAUAUUAAAUUUAUGACCACACACACUAUUACCGAGCAUCUACUGAGAUUAAUUUUGUGAAAAAUCCAUAGUAAAUUGUAUAUACAGUGUGGAAAGAUAAGUCGGCUGGCUCAUUGCACUUAAUAGAGACAUUCCUUUAUUUUUAAAAAGAAACAAAACUGCAUUCUUUCCGCACUGUAUAACUGGCCCACAAGCAAACAAGUUUCCAUGCAGGGGGUCAGUUGUCUCUGCAGUUUACUGUAAAUACUAUUUAAAAUCUUGUAACUAUUAAAAGCAAACAGAAACAGAAGUUGGUGAAUAAGGCGCCAGGUAUUAUAUAUGUCGGCGGCCGAUCGUAAAAUCAUGCAUAUCGUGAAAUUCCUAGGCAUAUGGUGAAACGUGAUAAUCUUCGACUCAUUCCCUGAGUCGACGGAGCCGGGGCUCCUAUUUCUAGACAGUUUGCCCUUCGGGCAUCUGAAGCAACCUAACGAACCUAUCCUACCUAUAAUUGGAUUAAUGUGACAAUCGUUAAAACAUUACACAGGAACAUUACGAUCUGGGGGCCGAUUUUUGAAUUUCGAUCGCUCGAUUUUGUCACUCGAAAAUCGGUGGAAAACGGUGAAAAGCUAAUUUUUGAAAUACGGACUAUCGAAAUUUGGAAUCUAUUGGUAUUGACCACUCGAUUUCAAUUCUAAUAGUAUAAUUUAAAUGCCUAGUAGUGGAGAUAUUAUUUAACGAAAUACACAAAAUCGAGUGGUCGAAUUUCAAAAAUCGGGCCCCUGCCUGAUCUUACGAUCGGCCGCCGACAUAUACAAAUAUACUCAUGAACAAAUUUAGAAGUACGCAAAAAAAAAGUUUAAUUACUAACUUUGAAAUUACUUUAGGUGCUGUAAUCCAGUACGUAUUUAAACCUUUUUUUUUUUGCUUUCCUCUAAAUUUGUCCAUGAGUAUAUAUUAUGACAGUUUCUAUUAUAAUAUACUUAUUUUUUUUUAAUAUUAUUAAACAUGUACAAAACUGUACAGUCACCUGCAAUAAUAUGUUACCCUUCGCAUGGCGCAAAAAUAUGUGACACGCUCUUAUGGCUCUUCAAAUAAGAUCGUGUCAGAUAUUUUUGAGGCCUUCGUUGUGUAACAUAUUAUUGCAGGUGACUGUACUAAGGUGUAGCAGGAAAACAAGUUACUAUAUACAAUUAAUAAAAUUAACUUUCUUUGUAUUACUCGUAUUUUAAUAGGAAAUUAUUUCCCGACUUCAGUACCAAGUAUGGACCUAUACUCUGAUUUUUGAAAUUUACCUACUAGUGUUUGAUUUAUGUUAAUUUGUAUUUUGUACUAAUAUUGCUUAAUUGCAAAAUCAUUAUAUUGAAGCAGAUGUUCUAUUAUAGGUCUAACACUUAU